ACAGGGAUUGCCCUAGUAACGGCGAGUGAAGCGGCAACAGCUCAAAUUUGAAAUCUGGCGUCUUUGGCGUCCGAGUUGUAAUUUGCAGAGGGCGCUUUGGCAUUGGCAGCGGUCCAAGUUCCUUGGAACAGGACGUCACAGAGGGUGAGAAUCCCGUACGUGGUCGCUAGCCUUUACCGUGUAAAGCCCCUUCGACGAGUCGAGUUGUUUGGGAAUGCAGCUCUAAAUGGGAGGUAAAUUUCUUCUAAAGCUAAAUACUGGCCAGAGACCGAUAGCGCACAAGUAGAGUGAUCGAAAGAUGAAAAGCACUUUGGAAAGAGAGUUAAAAAGCACGUGAAAUUGUUGAAAGGGAAGCGCUUGCAGCCAGACUUGCCUGUAGUUGCUCAUCCGGGUUUUUACCCGGUGCACUCUUCUAUAGGCAGGCCAGCAUCAGUUUGGGCGGUUGGAUAAAGGUCUCUGUCAUGUACCUCUCUUCGGGGAGAACUUAUAGGGGAGACGACAUGCAACCAGCCUGGACUGAGGUCCGCGCAUCUGCUAGGAUGCUGGCGUAAUGGCUGUAAGCGGCCCGUCUUGAAACACGGACCAAGGAGUCUAACAUCUAUGCGAGUGUUUGGGUGUCAAGCCCGAGCGCGUAAUGAAAGUGAACGGAGGUGGGAACCCCUCGGGGUGCACCAUCGACCGAUCCUGAUGUCUUCGGAUGGAUUUGAGUAAGAGCAUAGCUGUUGGGACCCGAAAGAUGGUGAACUAUGCUUGAAUAGGGUGAAGCCAGAGGAAACUCUGGUGGAGGCUCGCAGCGGUUCUGACGUGCAAAUCGAUCGUCAAAUUUGGGCAUAGGGGCGAAAGACUAA
rnacentral:rRNA from 1 species